rnacentral:rRNA from 1 species
GAACGAACGCUGGCGGCAUGCCUACCACAUGCAAGUCGAACGAGACCUUCGGGUCUAGUGGCGCACGGGUGCGUAACGCGUGGGAACCUGCCCUUAGGUUCGGAAUAACUCCCCGAAAGGGGUGCUAAUACCGGAUAAUGUCUUCGGACCAAAGAUUUAUCGCCUUUGGAUGGGCCCGCGUUGGAUUAGCUAGUUGGUAGGGUAAAAGCCUACCAAGGCGACGAUCCAUAGCUGGUCUGAGAGGAUGAUCAGCCACACUGGGACUGAGACACGGCCCAGACUCCUACGGGAGGCAGCAGUGGGGAAUAUUGGACAAUGGGCGAAAGCCUGAUCCAGCAAUGCCGCGUGAGUGAUGAAGGCCUUAGGGUUGUAAAGCUCUUUUACCCGGGAUGAUAAUGACAGUACCGGGAUAAUAAGCUCCGGCUAACUCCGUG